UACAGGAAAUAUAUGAUUUAACGGCGUUUAUUUAACGGCGUUUUUUUAAACGCCACUAUUUGUAAUAUUUAAUGACAUUUUAUAAACGUCACAUUUUGUUUUUAUUAAAACGGUACCGUUUAAGUAAUGAAGUCGUUUGAAAAGCGCCUUCGAAUGUGUUACACUAUUUCUCCCUCUCUGUCUUCAAGCCCUCAAAUCUCUCACAACUUAUUUGAAUCUGAGAAACCCUAGAGUCUCAAAGAAACCGAUCCCUCAAAUCUCUCACUCUCUCUCUAUCUCUCUCUCUCUCUCUCUAAGCCCUUCAGUUCCUUCAACUUGAUUCAACCUUCUUCAGUUCGGUGAUUCAUCAUUCGAUCGAUCCAAUCUCAGAAUGAUUUUGAUUUCAAAGCUCCACCGCCACCGCCAUCACCAUCUGCAUCUGCAUCGCCUACUCAGUUUCGAAAUCGAUUUCGAUUUCGAUUUCAAUCCAAUCUCAGCUCACGAAUGAUCCAAUCGUUGAUCGGCAGUGACGGAAAAAUUAUGAAGGUUUUUGGCAGAGUUCAUCCUGAUUUUUGGCUGUUGAUACUGACUUUGAACUUUCACUCUCAUGGCUCCCACUCAUUUUAGUUGCUCAUUUCUUGCCUGAAUAUAUUAGGACUAUUUGCUCUAUUUUACUUGACAUAAAUAGCUUCCUAAGUUACUUAUAAAGAAAAUCUUGUUAAAGGUGGUUUAAAGUCUCUGCAAGCUUGUCAGCAACUUGGGAUCGAACCAUGGUCAUGCACUUACUGCACCGAUUAAGAAAAUCUAACAUGCCAUCUCAUCUUGCUAUGCUCUAUUAAGUGAUGGUUUUUAUGGUUAACUGCUCAGUCUAUAAUUCCACAAAUCAGAGUGCUUAUAGAUUUACAUUUAAAUUUUGCUUUUGAAAUUAUUUCUACGAAAUUGGUGUUGUGUCUGCAGAUGUUGUAUCUAAAUGAAUUCAAAAUAUCUUGUAUUGUUUGAUAUUUGUUUUUUUUCACCUUGCAUAAUAUCUUACCGGAAUCUUACUACCAUGGUAGCUUGAGAAACAAUGCUGUGGAUAUUCAGAGUCAUUAUGUUUUAACUGGAUAUAGUAGGAACCCUCAAACAGAAGCUUUCUUGCAGUUUCUAGAACUUCCUUAUAUUCUUGAUAACAACACAUCAGAAUCAAGGGAACAAACCCGUAGUCCGGCUUCCUUUGUUUCUACAGGUAUAGGAAUACGUUUCAUCAUUCUUUUACUGCAAUUAUUGAAGUAUUGGGCGACAAUUCUGGUCAGACCAGUGUAGGCCCAAAGUUGAACUUCAUUGCUGGCCUAAUUGAUUGAUUUAAAAGUUGAA